UACGGAGGAUGCAAGCGUUAUCCGGAUUCAUUGGGUUUAAAGGGUGCGUAGGCGGACUAUUAAGUCAGUGGUGAAAGCCUGCAGCUUAACUGCAGAACUGCCAUUGAUACUGAUAGUCUUGAGUUUGGUUAAGGUAGGCGGAAUAUGUAAUGUAGCGGUGAAAUGCUUAGAUAUUACACAGAACACCAAUUGCGUAGGCAGCUUACUGAGCCGACACUGACGCUGAGGCACGAAAGCGUGGGGAUCGAACA
rnacentral:rRNA from 1 species